UACGUAGGGCGCAAGCGUUAUCCGGAAUUAUUGGGCGUAAAGAGCUCGUAGGCGGUUUGUCGCGUCUGCCGUGAAAGUCCAGGGCUCAACCCUGGAAAGCCGGUGGAUACUGUCGGGCUAGAGUCCGGAAGAGGCGAGUGGAAUUCCUGGUGUAGCGGUGGAAUGCGCAGAUAUCAGGAGGAACACCGAUAGCGAAGGCGGGUCUCUGGACCGAUACUGACGCUGAGGAGCGAAAGCGUGGGGAGCGAACAGG
rnacentral:rRNA from 1 species